AGUGAACGCUGGCGGUAGGCCUAACACAUGCAAGUCGAACGGCAGCACAGUAAGAGCUUGCUCUUACGGGUGGCGAGUGGCGGACGGGUGAGGAAUACAUCGGAAUCUACUUUUUCGUGGGGGAUAACGUAGGGAAACUUACGCUAAUACCGCAUACGACCUACGGGUGAAAGCAGGGGAUCUUCGGACCUUGCGCGAUUGAAUGAGCCGAUGUCGGAUUAGCUAGUUGGCGGGGUAAAGGCCCACCAAGGCGACGAUCCGUAGCUGGUCUGAGAGGAUGAUCAGCCACACUGUAACUGAGACUCGUUCCAGACUCCUACAGGAGGCAGCAGUGGGGAAUAUUGGACAAUGGGCGCAAGCCUGAUCCAGCCAUACCGCGUGGGUGCAGAAGGCCUUCGGGUUGUAAAGCCCUUUUGUUGGGAAAGAAAAGCAGCAGGUUAAUACCCCGCUGUUCUGACGGUACCCAAAGAAUAAGCACCGGCUAACUUCGUG
rnacentral:rRNA from 1 species